AGUGAACGCUGGCGGUAGGCCUAACACAUGCAAGUCGAACGGCAGCACAGUAAGAGCUUGCUCUUACGGGUGGCGAGUGGCGGACGGGUGAGGAAUACAUCGGAAUCUACUUUUUCGUGGGGGAUAACGUAGGGAAACUUACGCUAAUACCGCAUACGACCUACGGGUGAAAGCAGGGGAUCUUCGGACCUUGCGCGAUUGAAUGAGCCGAUGUCGGAUUGGCUAGUUGGCGGGGUAAAGGCCCACCAAGGCGACGAUCCGUAGCUGGUCUGAGGGGAUGAUCAGCGACACUGGAGGUGAGACACGGUCCAGACUCCUACGGGAGGCAGCAGUGGGGAAUAUUGGACAAUGGGCGGAAGCCUGAUCCAGCCAUGCCGCGUGGGUGAAGAAGGCCUUCGGGUUGUAAAGCCCUUUUGUUGGGAAAGAAAAGCAGCAGGUUAAUACCCCGCUGUUCUGACGGUACCCAAAGAAUAAGCACCGGCUAACUUCGU
rnacentral:rRNA from 1 species